UACAGUCACUGCUCAUAAGUGUAGACGUGUAGUGCAUGGUCUGUUAGUAUUGAAGCUAUACCAGACAUUGUGCAAGUUAAGGUCUCGCAAUCACAUCUGGCUGAUUUGGCCCAAAUCUAUCCAAAUAGCAAGUGCAAGCGUCCAGUGCUCAAUUUGCUUAUAUAUGAUGGUGAUGUCUUAGAUGGAACCCUGCAUGUCUGAACAUUGCUAUGGAUCAGGAUCAAAGAUCGUGUUCACCUUCUCAGUUCUCAAGCUAUCUAUGAGACAGCUCACUCGCAGCCAUAAUAGACUUAGUGUUUAGCUACGAGGACUAGUGCAGAAUAACGUACCAGUUGCUGUCAGUUUGAUCUUUCUACAUUCCCUUGGCCUUCGACGCCUCUUUUCUUCAGUCCCCCCAGCCAGGAGAAGACGAAGACACUGAAAGCUGACCAGUUAAGUAUGAGGCGGAGCGACUAUUUUGCUAACCUAGCCAGCACACAUGUCCUAGAUUUACUACAGCGUCCCGUUAGAUCUAUUCCUUUCCAUAUUCUGAGGUAGAUUCUGUGUGACAAACGUAAAGAUAAUGUCACACAUUACAGUAUCAAGAUUAAACACAUGGGGUAGAUUUACUACAGCGUCCCGUUAACUCAUUAUUUUUCACACAUUAUCUUUACAUUUUCCUUCCACUAAACUGCCUACAUUGCUAAAAAUUACCACCAGUCACUCAGUAUAUGGCGCGGCGUGCCGCCGCGCCCUUUCAUUG